UUUGCAGUCCUGUUCAUGUUAUAAAAACAAUAAGUGUAUAAAUAAUCAAUUAAUGUUUAAUUAUAAACAAAACCUAGAAUUUCGGUUCUGUGUGCAGUGACAUUUAUUCCGUAGGCAUGAUAUUAUCAACAUAUCUAAACGAAAUAAAAUUUGAAGCACACCAAUGGUACCUAGUCGAAAUAUCGUCCAUUAAAAAGUUUCAAAAUGACUUGGUCCAAGUUGAAGAAUAUAAAUUUCUGAAAACAUUUAAUGCAAUGAACUUUCUGUUUUCCUUCCAAGAAUAAUGUUUGGUUUUUUUUGAAAAUGACUCAGAAUUGCAACCAAUAGAAAAGCCGUUUGUGGGGGUAUUUAAAUAAAGUAGUUUGUCUCUCUACUCAAAGCUAUUCGGGGGAUCAUAUAAUCCGGAUUGAUACACCGCUGCACAGAAUCAAGCAUAAGACAACACAAUGUCGGGACGGGGACAAAGUCAAGCCAACAACGACAACAAGUCUGACCAGUGUAACCCCAACAAUCCAAAAUAUGAGGGUCACACUAGCAGUUACUCCGGAACCGCAACUAAGCCAGACCUAGAUAACCAUGGCAACCAGCUGAAUCCCAACAACGAACGGUUCCAACCGAAGAAAACGUAGUGGCGGCAGAAAAACAUGGCCUGUUGAAAAAGACUUUUUAAAACAUCAGUCUAUGUUUUGAUGAACUCGAUAAAAAAAAUGUUACAAUAA